rnacentral:rRNA from 1 species
AAGGGAGCUUGCUCCCGGAUGUUAGCGGCGGACGGGUGAGUAACACGUGGGUAACCUGCCUGUAAGACUGGGAUAACUCCGGGAAACCGGAGCUAAUACCGGAUAGUUCCUUGAACCGCAUGGUUCAAGGAUGAAAGACGGUUUCGGCUGUCACUUACAGAUGGACCCGCGGCGCAUUAGCUAGUUGGUGGGGUAAUGGCUCACCAAGGCGACGAUGCGUAGCCGACCUGAGAGGGUGAUCGGCCACACUGGGACUGAGACACGGCCCAGACUCCUACGGGAGGCAGCAGUAGGGAAUCUUCCGCAAUGGACGAAAGUCUGACGGAGCAACGCCGCGUGAGUGAUGAAGGUUUUCGGAUCGUAAAGCUCUGUUGUUAGGGAAGAACAAGUGCGAGAGUAACUGCUCGCACCUUGACGGUACCUAACCAGAAAGCCACGGCUAACUACGUGCCAGCAGCCGCGGUAAUACGUAGGUGGCAAGCGUUGUCCGGAAUUAUUGGGCGUAAAGGGCUCGCAGGCGGUUUCUUAAGUCUGAUGUGAAAGCCCCCGGCUCAACCGGGG